rnacentral:rRNA from 1 species
AGCGAACGCUGGCGGCAGGCCUAACACAUGCAAGUCGAACGAACCCUUCGGGGUUAGUGGCGGACGGGUGAGUAACACGUGGGAACGUACCUUUAGGUUCGGAACAACACAGGGGAAACUUGUGCUAAUGCCGAAUGUGCCCUUCGGGGGAAAGAUUUAUCGCCUUUAGAGCGGCCCGCGUCUGAUUAGCUUGUUGGUGAGGUAAAGGCUCACCAAGGCUACGAUCAGUAGCUGGUCUGAGAGGAUGAUCAGCCACACUGGGACUGAGACACGGCCCAGACUCCUACGGGAGGCAGCAGUGGGGAAUCUUGCGCAAUGGGCGAAAGCCUGACGCAGCCAUGCCGCGUGAAUGAUGAAGGUCUUAGGAUUGUAAAAUUCUUUCACCGGGGAAGAUAAUGACGGUACCCGGAGAAGAAGCCCCCGGCUAACUUCGUGCCAGCAGCCGCGGUAAU